GAUGAACGCUAGCGGCAGGCUUAACACAUGCAAGUCGAGGGGUAGAAGUUGCUUGCAACUUUGAGACCGGCGCACGGGUGCGUAACGCGUAUGCAAUCUACCUUAUACAGAGGGAUAGCCCAGAGAAAUUUGGAUUAAUACCUCAUAGUAUAAUUGAAUGGCAUCAUUUAAUUAUUAAAGUUCCAACGGUAUAAGAUGAGCAUGCGUCCUAUUAGCUAGAUGGUAAGGUAACGACUUACCAUGGCAACGAUAGGUAGGGGUCCUGAGAGGGAGAUCCCCCACACUGGUACUGAGACACGGACCAGGCUCCUACGGGAGGCAGCAGUGAGGAAUAUUGGACAAUGGGCGCAAGCCUGAUCCAGCCAUGCCGCGUGCAGGAAGAAGCAUCUAUGGUGUGUAAACUGCUUUUGUACGGGAAGAAACACUCCUUCGUGAAGGAGCUUGACGGUACCGUAAGAAUAAGGAUCGGCUAACUCCGUGCCAGCCGCCGCCGUAAGAC
rnacentral:rRNA from 1 species